rnacentral:rRNA from 1 species
UUGCACGCUGGCGGCAGGCCUAACACAUGCAAGUCGAGCGGAUGAAGGGAGCUUGCUCCUGGAUUCAGCGGCGGACGGGUGAGUAAUGCCUAGGAAUCUGCCUGGUAGUGGGGGAUAACGUCCGGAAACGGGCGCUAAUACCGCAUACGUCCUGAGGGAGAAAGUGGGGGAUCUUCGGACCUCACGCUAUCAGAUGAGCCUAGGUCGGAUUAGCUAGUUGGUGGGGUAAAGGCCUACCAAGGCGACGAUCCGUAACUGGUCUGAGAGGAUGAUCAGUCACACUGGAACUGAGGCACGGUCCAGACUCCUACGGGAGGCAGCAGUGGGGAAUAUUGGACAAUGGGCGAAAGCCUGAUCCAGCCAUGCCGCGUGUGUGGAGAAGGUCUUCGGAUUGUAAAGCACUUUAAGUUGGGAGGAAGGGCAGUAAGUUAAUACCUUGCUGUUUUGACGUUACCAACAGAAUAAGCACCGGCUAACUUCGUG